AAUAGAUACCCAGGUAGUCCACGACCGUAAACGUUGGAUACUAGGUGUGGCGGUUAUACCAAUGACUGCCGUGCCGAAGCUAACGCAUUAAGUAUCCCGCCUGGGGAGUACGGCCGCAAGGCUAAACUCAAAGGAAUUGACGGGUCCCCGCACAAGCGGCGGAGCAUGCGGCUUAAUUCGAUGCAACCCGAAGAACCUUACCUGGGUUUGACAUCACGGGAAAAGCUGUAGAAAUACAGUGUCCGUAAGGGCCCGUGACAGGUGGUGCAUGGCUGUCGUCAGCUCGUGUCGUGAGAUGUUGGGUUAAGUCCCGCAACGAGCGCAACCCUUGUCCUAUGUUGCCAGCAGUUCGGCUGGGAACUCGUAGGAGACUGGCCGGGGAUAACUCGGAGGAAGGUGAGGACGACGUCAAGUCAUCAUGCCCCUUAUAUCCAGGGCUGCACGCAUGCUACAAUGGCCGGUACAACGGGCAGCCGACCCCGGCGAGGGUGAGCGAAUCCUAUAAAGCCGGUCCAGUUCGGAUUGAAGUCUGCACUCG
rnacentral:rRNA from 1 species